CUUUCACUUACUGGGAUUAUCACAAAGUAUGGAUUAAUGCUUUUUUAAUCCAAAACUUCAACCAAACUCAUACAUGGCUCUUCUUUUUCAACACUGUUUCUAAAUUCUGUUUCCCUCGAUGGUUCUCAGUGGUGGAAUUAGAUGGGAGCCACUUCUGAAAUCUUACCCUCAGAUAUCUAGCAAGGUUAUACGACUUUUAAAGUCAGAUACAAG
rnacentral:misc_RNA from 1 species